UAAGACGAACCGUGCGAACGUUGUUCGGAAUCACUGGGCUUAAAGGGCGCGUAGGCGGGCUGCCAAGUCAGGGGUGAAAACUUUCGGCUCAACCGGAAAAGUGCUUCUGAUACUGGCAGUCUCGAGGGAGGUAGGGGUCGGUGGAACUAAUGGUGGAGCGGUGAAAUGCGUAGAUAUCAUUAGGAACGCCGGUGGCGAAAGCGACCGACUGGACCUCUUCUGACGCUGAGGCGCGAAAGCCAGGGGAGAGAACGGGAUUAGAUACCCCGGUAUUCCUGGCCCUAAACGAUGGGUACCAGAUUGUAGACUUGACAUGGGUUUACAGUCGAGGCAAAAGUGUUAAGUACCCCGCCUGGGGAGUAUGGUCGCAAGGCUG
rnacentral:rRNA from 1 species